GACGAACGCUGGCGGCGUGCUUAACACAUGCAAGUCGUACGGUAAGGCCCUUUCGGGGGUACACGAGCGGCGAACGGGUGAGUAACACGUGAGUAACCUGCCCACAACUUUGGGAUAACGCUAGGAAACUGGUGCUAAUACUGGAUAUGUGCUCCUGCUGCAUGGUGGGGGUUGGAAAGCUCCGGCGGUUGUGGAUGGACUCGCGGCCUAUCAGCUUGUUGGUGGGGUAGUGGCCUACCAAGGCGGCGACGGGUAGCCGGCCUGAGAGGGUGACCGGCCACAUUGGGACUGAGAUAAGGCCCAGACUCCUAAGGGAGGCAGCAGGGGGGAAUAUUGCACAAUGGGCGCAUGCCGGGUGCAGCAACGCCGCGUGCGGGAUGACGGCCUUCGGGUUGUAAACCGCUUUCAGCAGGGACGAAGCUUUUUGUGACGGUACCUGCAGAAGAAGCACCGGCUAACUACGUG
rnacentral:rRNA from 1 species